rnacentral:rRNA from 1 species
UGGGGAAUAUUGGGCAAUGGGCGCAAGCCUGACCCAGCAACGCCGCGUGAAUGAUGAAGGUCUUCGGAUUGUAAAGUUCUUUUCUAAGGGAAGAAGAAAGUGACGGUACCUUAGGAAUAAGCCUCGGCUAACUACGUGCCAGCAGCCGCGGUAAUACGUAGGAGGCAAGCGUUAUCCGGAAUGACUGGGCGUAAAGGGUGCGUAGGUGGUUUGACAAGUUGGUAGCGUAACUCCGGGGCUCAACCUCGGCACUACUACCAAAACUGUUGGACUUGAGUGCAGGAGGGGCAAAUGGAAUUCCUAGUGUAGCGGUGGAAUGCGUAGAUAUUAGGAGGAACACCAGUGGCGAAGGCGAUUUGCUGGACUGUAACUGACACUGAGGCACGAAAGCGUGGGUAGCAAACAGG